AGUGUUUCUGCUUAGCUAGUGCAUAGUGCUUGUCUGUGUUUGUGCGACGCGAGUUAUCUUUGCCUUUUUCACCCUCCUUUUUCCACACUCUCAGCAGUAAUGCCCUCUCCAGCCCUCAAUCCAUCACUGUCCCGCUGAUCAAUAAUCAAUCUGCAGGGGCCGAGGCCAGUGGCCCAGCGCCAUCCGUCUCCAUCGGCGAACAUGGGGGCGAAAGGCGGCGAGUGUGGGAGAAAGAGAUGGGAGAGGAGGAGACAGAGUUCAAUUCAUCCCCAAUCUGCGGUCAAGUCUGCUCUGCUGAGAACCUGACCGCUGAUCGGCGAUUGUCCAAGAAAUUCAAAAGGAGACUUAAUGAAGAUGCUGCAUUAAAUGUAUGUAGGUAAAUAAGAAGAAGAAGAAGAAUCAAAGAAUGGCAUGACAAAUGUAGGAGUAGACAUCCUUGAAUAAUUCCUGCAGCUGUUUGGACUGGUACAGUACGUACAUUAUUUUUUAGGCAAGACUUCCCUCUACUGGAGCUUGCAUGCAACUUCUUAAAGAUGCUCCAUUAAAAUAAUGCUAUUCACCUUUUGAGUGAUUGGAUUGGAUUUUCCAUGGUUGAUGAAGAAAGCAGUUUAGAAGACUUUAGAUCAUAAUAAACCCAUGCUAAUUAUUCAUGAUAUAUGGACUGUAGUUGUAAAAGGCAGUACGGUGUCCUAGUGGUUCACACGUCUGCCUCAUACUUCAGGCCUUCCUUUAUGGAGUUUGUGCAUGUGAGUUUUUUUUUGUGUAACUAAAUUGUCCAUGAGAGUAUGAAUGCUUGUUUGUCCCUAGGCGCCCUAUGAUUGACCGCCGACCAGUCCAGGGUGUACCCCGCAUCUCGCCCAAAGUCAGCUGGGAUAGGCUCCAGCUCACCCGUAACCUUAAUGAGGAUAAGCACUACAGAAAAUAGUUGGAUGGAUGUAGCGGUCAGUAUUGUUA